rnacentral:snRNA from 1 species
GUGCCCGCUUCGGCUGCACAUAUACUAAAAUUGGAACAAUACAGAGAUUAGUAUGGUCCCUGCACAGGGAUGACUUACAAAUUCGUGAAGUGUUCCAUAUUUUU